UCGACUUCAUAUUCUGCCUGAUCGCACUUUCACGACACGUUAUGCCUCCUGCUGCCACGUCUAUUUUUAUAUAGGACAAAUUACAGGCGUAUUUCGAGCUUGCCAGACCGAAAAGUAAUUGCUUAUACGUCCAAGUUGAACGCAGUACAAACAUAUGUUUAGUUGGCUGUCUAAACAGUUACAGAAAUGAGGGUCCCUAACAGGUAUGUGAGCUGGAUAAAGGUAUGGGUGGGCUGAAAAUAAUGCAAACAUCAGACUCGUGCAGUUAUUGUAGUUCUCAGCAACCCCGGUAUAUACCUGAUGGCAAAUGCAUUUUGAUGUCACUAUAUAAUACGAAUGCGUUUUGUGCCGACUAAUAUCAGUUGGAUCCAGUCUGGAUCUUUGGUUAGUCAAGUCUUAAAACUAAAGUCCUGACAUCUAGAAAGAAAAGAGAAAAUAGAAUGGUGAAGGCCUACUUCGCCAUUUUAGCCAUGGCAGUGGCCUGUUGCGCUGCCAAUAGAGGCGAAUUCUUUGCGAAAUUUGGAAGAUCGUCAGGCGGUAUGGAAAUUAAGAAAGAAACGAUUCAGGGCCUUAGCGCCAUCGGUGAAGCAACCAGUCGCAGUAGCAGUUGCGCAAUCUCUUCUGUGCCCU